rnacentral:rRNA from 1 species
CCUACGGGUGACAGCAGUGAGGAAUAUUGGUCAAUGGACGAGAGUCUGAACCAGCCAAGUAGCGUGAAGGAUGACUGCCCUAUGGGUUGUAAACUUCUUUUAUAUGGGAAUAAAAUGUUCCACGUGUGGGCUUUUGUAUGUACCAUAUGAAUAAGGAUCGGCUAACUCCGUGCCAGCAGCCGCGGUAAUACGGAGGAUCCGAGCGUUAUCCGGAUUUAUUGGGUUUAAAGGGUGCGUAGGUGGUUUGUUAAGUCAGUUGUGAAAGUUUGCGGCUCAACCGGAAAAUUGCAGUUGAAACUGGCAGUCUUGAGUACAGUAGAGGUUGGCGGAAUGCGUGGUGUAGCGGUGAAAUGCUUAGAUAUCACGAAGAACUCCGAUUGCGAAGGCAGCUCACUGGACUGCAACUGACACUGAGGCUCGAAAGUGUGGGUAUCAAACAGGAUUAGAUACCCGUGUAGUC